CGCCAAGCUGCGCCGGGGGUUGAGCCGUGGACAGUGAGCCAAGUAAUGUCGGGGAUUUCUCACGUCGUCACAGAAGGAAGCUGCUGCUGGAAGCCGUAGUUUGGGCCGACGAAGGAGCGGACAGCCUUGACUGCGGACAGACACUCGUCCCAGCUGUAGCGGGUGGUGGUCAUCAGAGCCCCUCAACUUCUGGAAGUGGAGGAGUCCAAGUUAGCAGAGGCUGAAAUCUUUCGAACCCUGCGGAGUUAAAACUCUUCACCUCACCACAGCAGUCCUCAUUCAGAAAAUCCAACUGUUUCUCUCUACUCACACUAAAGAAUUCGAGGGGGAAAAAAAACGUUAGUUGGUUAUUAUGAGUGAUGCUGUAAAUCAGUGGUGGGCAGAAAGCUCCUUUCUGUGUGUUUUGCCCCUCUCCCUCUCUCUUUUCAAAGCUUUCUCAAUUCUUUACGACUUUAAGAAGAUGAGUAAUAUAACUGUUUCUCCUCGACUGUCACGCCCUGUGACCACAAUCUGGAAGGCUACAGUGGACAAGUGUUGGUGAAACCACACUGCGUUACUCAUAAUGGCUUCACAAAUUCAUAUGCACAAUGGUAAAUAAAUAAAUAAAUAAAUAAGACAGCGU